UAGCAUAUCAAUAAGCGGAGGAAAAGAAACCAACAGGGAUUGCCCUAGUAACGGCGAGUGAAGCGGCAACAGCUCAAAUUUGAAAUCUGGCUUCGGCCCGAGUUGUAAUUUGCAGAGGAAGCUUUAGGCGCGGCACCUUCUGAGUCCCCUGGAACGGGGCGCCAUAGAGGGUGAGAGCCCCGUAUAGUUGGAUGCCUAGCCUGUGUAAAGCUCCUUCGACGAGUCGAGUAGUUUGGGAAUGCUGCUCAAAAUGGGAGGUAAAUUUCUUCUAAAGCUAAAUACCGGCCAGAGACCGAUAGCGCACAAGUAGAGUGAUCGAAAGAUGAAAAGCACUUUGAAAAGAGGGUUAAAUAGCACGUGAAAUUGUUGAAAGGGAAGCGCUUGUGACCAGACUUGCGCCGGGCGGAUCAUCCGGUGUUCUCACCGGUGCACUCCGCCCGGCUCAGGCCAGCAUCGGUUCUCGCGGGGGGAUAAAGGUCCUGGGAACGUAGCUCCUCCGGGAGUGUUAUAGCCCGGGGCGUAAUGCCCUCGCGGGGACCGAGGUUCGCGCAUCUGCAAGGAUGCUGGCGUAAUGGUCAUCAGCGACCCGUCUUGAAACACGGACCAAGGAGUCAAGGUUUUGCGCGAGUGUUUGGGUGUAAAACCCGCACGCGUAAUGAAAGUGAACGUAGGUGAGAGCUUCGGCGCAUCAUCGACCGAUCCUGAUGUUUUCGGAUGGAUUUGAGUAGGAGCGUUAAGCCUUGGACCCGAAAGAUGGUGAACUAUGCUUGGAUAGGGUGAAGCCAGAGGAAACUCUGGUGGAGGCUCGCAGCGGUUCUGACGUGCAAAUCGAUCGUCAAAUCUGAGCAUGGGGGGCGAAAGACUAAUCGAACCAUCUAGUAGCUGGUUACCGCCGAAGUU
rnacentral:rRNA from 1 species